GUGAUCAUCUUGGUGUCUGUUCUGGCCCUGACAGCAUUUCUUCUUAACACUUGCACACAGCUUUGUGCGAACACAAAUACUCUCUGUGCCCAGAAUCCUGCAGCAAUACCAGUUCGAGUGUCCUCAUUUUCUUGAGCCAAGUUCUACCAGCAAUAUCAGCAGCACCUGUAUGGAUUUUUCAUCCCACUUUCUGAGCUGCUGUAGAAUAUGACAGCAGCUGCUUUAACAGCACACUGAAUUUGCAUGUCAGUGAAUUGGAACAUGAAUAGGCAGCAUCUGGCUGGUAAAAUCUCAUGGGACUAAAAUGGAGAGCUGAGUAAUAAAGUGCACAGAAGUUGUUUCCUCACAGGGAAUAACAAUGAAGUUACAGUUUAGAAUGUUUUUAGGCUAUCGGGAAAUAUUGAAUGCAUAA